AGCCUCACAAAGUGGCUGUGAAAUGCUUAAAAUUGACUUCGAUUGCAUAUCACAGCCAGCUUUGAUGAGCUUGG
rnacentral:pre_miRNA from 2 species